rnacentral:lncRNA from 1 species
AGAAACUCUAGUCCACAAAGUGCUCAUCACUGCUCCAAUCUCAAAUCAACAAAUGUAACCACAGAAUUAAAAAAAUAUGAAUAUAAUUCGUGAUGCAACUCAGAGAGAAUAACACAAGGGCUAGUAGCCUCAGGUUUUCAGAGACACAUUAUGGAUGGGGCAUGUAUUUUGCACUGAAACCUGGAAACCUAGGGAAUUUAGUCCAACAAAUAGCACAGGCUAACUUGGUGAAUAAGCCUGUGCUAUUUGUUGGACUAAAUUCCCUAGGUUUCCAGGUUUCAGAAAGCCGAAAUGUUGAUUUUUGUUGCAAAGAAAACUAGGUCCACAGUUUUCACUGAAGUAGACAAUAUCAUGCUGUUAUUUAACUCCCAUCUCACAGUAAAAAAGAGACGAAGCUGAUGACAACACACACUUUCCGAGUUUUUCAGCCUCUGCGCAAAUCAGAAAUCACUUGCGCGAGGAUAGUUAAACUCGGCACAAAACUCAGCAUCAUUGUUGCAACAGAAGAUCAAUGAAACUAUGAAAUUAUACUAACAAAUGCAUUUAGACAUAGAAAGAUGAAACUAAACUAUAGUAGCGUACAGGUGAAGAUUCUUUUGCCACCGUAUAUUCCGGAUCAAUUUCCAGCUUGUCCCAAAAGGUCAUGCUGGUCGGCGUGCCGCUCUACAAAUGCGGCUAAAAGAAAUCAAAAUCAUCAAUGCCAUUGUAGGCUCCUGCACCAUCAGCAUCGUAGUUGUAACCAUGAUCGAAUGUUUCGCCAUCCGCAUUGUCCUGCUCAUACUGUGCGUCGAAGUCCAUCUCGUCUUUCUUAUUUGCAUCGCCAUCUUCAUAUUUAGUCUGCUUGCAAAAUCGAUCACCAUCGAGUCACAAAAAUGUAGCAUAAUAUGCAAGACAGUAUGAGCAGUUAAGUUAGAUUCUCAAAAUAAAAGCAGCAGCACAGCCAAGAAUUAUAAUUCAUUCAACUCGCAAAUACUUUAUUAAUUCUACAUGACAAUAGUAUCUUAUAAUAUAAUAUAAAUAUGAAUAAACAGAAAUACCUUGUAUAGUUCGCCAACAGCUCCCUCACUAACCUUUGAACCAAGUCCCUGUGGAAGGGACAUUAAAUAUUAAAUUUCAGCUGGUUUACAAACGAAGUUCAAAAAGCAAUUACAGUGCCCAUAGGACAAUUAUUUCAGGUGUAUGUGACAGCACAAGUAAUCUACCUUUCGUUUCAGCAUGUUGAAUGUUGCUUCUGCUGGUGUUUCAGCAGGUGUUGAGCUCUUGAUGUCCUCAUUACGCUUUCGUUUCUAUGUUUGAAACAUCCACGAAUAAUCAUACCACCCAACAUAAAAUGGUAAACAAAUGUGUAAUGAACACAUGAAGUUUGAUUGCACAAAAUCAUUUCUUACUUUCUUCUUCCCCUCUUCCACAACAACACCUCUAGCUGCCAAUUCAGCUGCCAAAGCUUCCUUUGCUGCUUGUUCCUGUAAAACCAAACGGCAGGCAGUAGCAUCCUCAGUCAAGAUGAGAUACUGUGUUACAUUGAUGGGGUCAUCGCUACCUCAAGGUACUCUUUGUUCAUUUCCUCCCAGAUAAUCUUUUUAUAUUGCGUUUCUUCCUCAUUGUGAAGGUACCAAUCAACCUACAAAACUCGUAGCAUUACAGCAAAUUACAAAAGCUUGCUUGGUCAUCACCCCACAUCUAACUACUGGUGCCAUAGAAUAAAUCCUCAAAAAAAAUAUGAUAAAAUUCACUGUGAAAGUACCUCUACAUCGUCAAUAUCAGAAAGGCUUUCCGGAUCAGCAUCGCCUUCACAAUUUUCACCUAAGUAUGCAAGAUAGCAUUCAGCUUUCCGAAACAAUCAACAUAACAUGGAACUGAAACAGGAAAACUGAAAGUAUCGAUAAGUAUGAUGGUUCAGGAAGUAAAAAAACCUCCCCCUUCAGGAUCCUUGGACACCUCGGAGUCAUUUGUGAGUUCCCCGGAUGCAACUGUUGAAGAUUUAUCUUCUCUUACACCCUGUUCGAAGUGAGCUCCCAGAGCACAGAAAAAGGGGGGGAAAUAAGGACACGAGUUCCAACACAAAAAAUGUGAUGGAAGAAAUAGCAUGUAACAAUUACCUUUCUUGGGUUCUCAACAUCAGAAUUCUGUGUGUCACAAAGAGAUUCUUCCAAUGCUGCCUCCUUAACUGCAACAGCUUCUUCAGCCCUUUUAGCAGCUUCAAGUCUUUGCUUUUCAGCUCGUUGGAAUGCUGGAGGGUUAGCACCACCUUCUAGUCCACCCGACAGUUUAGUGAACUGGGAAAUAAUACGAAAUGUCAAAAGCAAAUGAAAUCUGCAAGUCAAUGAGCUAUGCGCAUAGUAGAUGUGAUUUACCUUAUUGUAGCAUUUUUCACAAAGUCCAUGAGCAAAAUGCUCAAAACCUUCUUUACCCUUGUGCUUGCAAAGAAUUUCUCCAGACUUGAGUGAACGUUUUGAAACAGGCUCUUGAUUAUAUUCAUCAGCUGUUGCCAGAAAUUCUUCAAUCUAACAAAGGGGCAUGAAGAUAUAGGCAUACUCACAUCUUAAGAGAACUGUUUAAGAACAUGUUGCUUAACAUGCAUUAAGAAUGACAAAAUCAAGCAAUGUAUUUUGAUAGGGGAUGUCUUAAUAUUGCUUGCUAAGGUUCAUACUUGUUUAUUACACCAUGAUGCGGGUUGCAAAUCAAUAAGUGAACAGUUUUCUCUAGAAGGUAGCAGGACAACGAAUACCGAUCCAAGAGCAUUGCAAUGCAAUUGCAUUUGUUUUAGUUCAAACUGAUAAAAAGUGUUUCUGAAAGUGAACUAGCUAGGUACUGCUAACUUUGUGCGAACAGGACUAGAAUCGCCAAACUAAAGUUAUGAAUUAACCUUUCUUAAAAUAUAAAUUUAUACGAACAAACUAAAACCACAUGACAAAUUUAGGUUGCUUGCAGUUACUGGCAUAGAAAGGACUGGUAUCACCUUUUUCUGGGUCCGAGCUUUUUUUCCAAAAAUGGAAUUUUAAACCAUUAUCAUGAGCUGACAGUUCCUUAUGCUAUAGAAAAGCAGCUUACAAACAAAUGACUCUUUUUAUAUGAGAACAUCACCACAUGAGUUACUGUCAGCCAUUCACAUGCGCACUGUGCCAAUAAUAAAUUGUAUAACCAAAAAGGAAUUUCAACUGAAUGUUAUAAACUAUUGGUUCAUCAAAUUUGGAAAUUUCAUGGAAGAAAGAAGCAUACCGUUAAGCUGCCAGAAUCUGUACUUUCGAACUCUAUCAAUCGCUUAGUUAGAGUGGCUUCACAGACAUGCACAACAGCAACCUGAGAAACAUACAAUAGAAUUGACACCGUCACUACAAUGUUCAGCCAUAUGCCUAUGUCCUACACACAGAAAUAUGCACAGGCAUACAUAAAAAAAACAAAUGUAAGUUGGCAAAGGAUAACACUAGUAUAAAUUAUCAAAUAAGUUCAAGAUAUUUCAUGAGCAUCAGGACAUACAACAUCUGCCUUGGUGUAAUUGUACCCAUGAGACAGUGCAGCAAUGUAUAAUGCUGCACCACAUAAUCCACUUGGCUUCCUCCCAGUCUGCAAGAGAGGGUAAAGGUGGUAAGCUUAUUCAGCCUUGUGAAAGAAGAUAAGAGAAACAUAGGAAGGAACGCCUGCCUGCAUCCAGUCUCGCUUCAUGCUAGCUACAAUGCGUAAAGCUGUGUCUGAGACAGCAUUAUCCCUCCUCCCCAACAAACCUAAAAUAAACCAAUAUAUUGUAACAAAACCUGAAUAAUCAGACCCAAGAACAUAAAUAAAGGAACUAAUUCUGGUCAAUCCUAGAAGCAAGACCCACAAGGACCUCGUCAAUUGCAGCAUACAUGUCGAAUACCAUAGACAUAACCCAUAUGGCAUGUAAUUUGCAACAUUUGCACAAAAAACAAAACCACUCUACAAAUUUUUCCAUGGCGCAAUUUUCGGUUAGCCAUGAGGUGAGGUUAGUUCAGUCUCAAAUUGCACUGAAUGGAUUAGCCAAACAAAUAGAGGCAAUAUUUUAAUUUGCAUACAACCUCUCCAGUGCCAAUUUGAUAGUCCACCGGGUGAUCCAACAGUUCACUUUAAAAAAAAGUGUGAACCCACAAAGCAAUGAUUUCUUUUUUAUUUUGGUACCAAUAGCGUUCUACUAUUAUUUAGUAUAAAAAUAGACCCAGGUUGGAAUCUUGACGGGUUACUUGCACUAAAUAACCAAAUAAAGCCUAGAACGCACAAGAAAGAUUAUCAACAUUGAGUAAUAUUAUAUACAUAUUAAUGGCAAAUGUAGCUUUUGUGAGUAUUGGAGCUGAAAUACAUGCUAUGUGACAAUCUUCUGCAGAGUUUCAAGAUUAAAAUACUUUAAUGGGAAAGCCAUGAUUGACCAGGCAAAAUGAGGCUGCUCCCAAGUCCCAACCAUCAACAAACCUGGACACUGACAGUAUCUUAGAAUAUUUGUGCAUACCUCAACCCUUUGAACAAUUGCUCAUACUACAUACACAAGAGCAAAUGAACGAAAUAUACAAUGCAACAGAAUAUGUCAUCAGCUUACGUUCUGUAAAACGAUGGAUGAAAAGGCUGGGAUCUAUAAGCUUUUGAACAACUGGAUGAUCUGCAAGUAGCAAAACUUGGCAGAGCUGGAGAAAAACAGCACCUAGGACAUAACUGAAACAAACAAAAUACAGGUGAGCCCCUUCAUUGAUUCAUACUAGAUAAAGGAUCAAAUAGUUGGGAUACUAACACACUGAUUUGCAGAUAGUCAGAGAAAUCGAUAAGAAGAUAAGCUUUCUUACUUUGCCUGGCAAGAAAAGUAGGUAAACUGAACAUUAGUACUAUAAUAGAGCUUGCUGAAACAAAAAUAAAAGGAACCAGAAUAUACUUUGCAAAACAUACCACUAAAAGCAUGAUUAAUCAUGAGCGCGGUAUUUUCAUAUUUUGAUGAUUAAGAAAGAAAUAUAUACCUAUUAUUAAAGUAAGCAACACUUCUGCCCACUUCUUUGGUUUGGUCCAACUUAAUCUCAUUGAUAGGUGGGCCUAAUGCUUAAUUUGUUACUAUAAUCGUCAUUGACAGGUGGGGUCCAAAAUUUACUCCGUUUACUUCAUGAGCGAACCGUCCGCACGGGACUCCACCUGUCAAUGAGAUCCGCGAGACUAAACGCCACCCUCGCCAGCCGGACAGGGGCGCGACGGUGUUGCCCGGCCAGAUCUGCUCGGGCGGCAGAGGCGCCGACACUAUGGCCGCAUGCCGCCGCUGCAGCAGCCACAGGGGGCGAGCCGCCUCCAGCGUGGCCUUGGCGGCGGCGGCGGGGGCUGCGGGGCAGAGGUCCGUGCCCACCUCGGAAACUUCUAGAAGCCAAGCCAAGCCACCACCUUUCUUCCUUCCGUUGUUUCUCUCAAUCCUUCUCUCCCUCCGUGCCAGCCGGACAGGGGCGCGACGGUGGCGGACCCCGCUGCUGCCUACCCGCCAUAGCCCCAACUACUUCUCCUUUGCCGCCUCCCCCAUCUUUCUCACCCUAUCCCCGCCGCAAUCCGGCUACCCCGGCCGUUGCCGCCCACUCGGCAUCCGGCGUGCAACCCACCCCCGCAGCUGCCUACCCGCCAGAGCCGCAUCUCUUUCUCCUUUGCCGCCUCCUCCAUCUUUCUCACCCUAUCCCCGCCGCACUCCGGCUGCCCCCGCCGACCGAAAGAACUACGGUUUGAAAAAUUUGGGUGAACUAGCGGCUGUUUUGGUUCUGCAGCUGCUCUGUUCAACACAAGGCGCAAGUAGCGGACUGCGGCUCUGAAUAGUAUCUUCUGGUGCCACAUAUUUUUCUGUCAGCAAAAGCUCCCUCAUCGAAUUUCUCGCUUUCCACUAUUUAGAUUUCUAGUUCUGCUCUUGGAGCUUGAUCUGGCAGCUCUGCUCUGUGCCUUUGCUCGAUAGCUCUUGAAGCUUCACUUCUGAACGCAGGCCAUCAGCAGUGCGACGGCUUUAGUGUUGUUUCUGUCAGUUGGCACUAGCUGCAGCUCGGCUUGGUUUUGCUAGAGCUCUAUUUCUCUGCCCAACAGGUAAUACGGUGCAGUGACAGGAGGAGCAUCAGCGCCUGCAGUUUUUGCUCUUGGGCACAGGUAUUGUUUUGGUGCAGUGCAGGCACGCAGCAGCAGCUCAAGCCUCUGUUUCUUCUCUCAGGUGAACAGCGACAGCAGCAUUUCAAUCAGGUUUGCACUAUGCUUUUGGUGGGUUUCAUUGCUUUCAGUGGGUUUCAGUGUUAAAGUCACGUGCUUUCUUAGGUCUAUUUACAUUUUUUACUAACUCAUUGCUUUAGUUCAGUAACAUGAAGUUUCAUUUCAAGUUACUUCAUGUGUUCAAUUCAGGUCUACAGAAAUUAGCUCAUCUCAACCUGGAGGGCUAUGCAGUCACUGCAGUUUGUUUGGAGGUUAUAUCAGGUUUUGUGUCUUCUGGGCCUACUGUGCCAUCAAUUGUCACUUCUGCAAAAAAAUAUCUUAUAUUUAAUCUCUUUGCCCGUGGAAAUAGUGCCCAUUGCCACUAAUUAUCUACAAUUGUCGUAACAUAUGUUAUGAUAAGAGAAUGAUUUAGGAUCUGAUUAAGAGUUCUUGUUUUAAUACACAACACGAAUGUUCCCAAGUGUCAGACAAAGAUAACCUGAUAAUACUUUUCAGCUACUAUAUAGUAUAUACAGCAUGAAAGGAACAAAAAAAAUUUAUUUCUUUUGUUGCUGAGGUGUGGUGAACACAAUAUCAUUCUAUUCUUAAUUUCAAAAGAAAAUAGUUGACUGGAGGCAGCAUUUUUUUGACCAAGUUUUACUUCUUUAUGAAUUUAUUUAGUCCCGUUUCUCUUCCCUAUGUGUACACAUCUAGCUAUGGACUCUACAGUAGUAUUCAUUUAGAUUGUUGCAUGAACCACUUCAAGUCAACCACUUGGAUACUAAAACUUCACUAACAGACUAAAAAAUCAUUCUAUUGCAGGACUGGCCUUUAUUGGUCUUGCUGAAUUUAAGUCGGUGUGGCACAUGCAACAACAGCUGUGAGAACUUGGAAGGUAAACACGAUGCAGAUUACAAAACUUUUGGCAAACUCAAUUAUCUGUUUUGUUUUUCUUGACCGUAUUCAUAAUUAAAAUUGUAACGAGCUAGACUACUAAGCACGCCCAUAGAUGAUGAUAUUACUCAUGCUUCAUGGAGCCUUUAUUAGGCAAUAGAAACAAAAAAGUAAAAAAGGUCUAACAAAUCCUGGCUGCUAAGAACUCAGCAGUAGAAAAUUUAGUAAAUCGUAACCUUAGGUUCCAAUGAUAGGGCAUUCUUUAAAAACUGUACAAUAAAUAUGCAGGGAACAUGUACAUUUUGCUUACUUGGAGGAAUGCAUCACAUAUUAACAAAGCCUCUUGAAUGGGUUUGAGAUGCAUUUAUGUGGCCUGGAAAAGCUUACUUUGUGUUAUAAUUUGGGCAUUUAAAAUGUUGUAAUCCUUAUGGACCGCUGAGAUGAAGCUUCUGAAGGUUAAGUGUUUAUUUUUCUAAUGGAUAUAAUUGAAGUAAAACCUGUAUUAGCUUUUUGAAAAACAGAAGGGGAGAUAAUAUAACAUUAACUACUAGUAGUCCCAUCAAAAGUAGCCAGGGUGGAAACAAAUUGCAGAACAAAUGGCCAUAUUUGAUCAGAAGUUAGCAGACUACACAAAAAUAUUUCUGAAGUUUCAUUAAGUAACUGGCCAGUGGUAGCAUACCGGCAGGCAAUGUAAAGGCAAGCAGCUGCAACAUGGGUUGUUCUACGCCCCCUUGUAAAAUUACGGUCAAUAGCUAGCUGCACUUCAAAAAGAAGCAGCAUCAAAAUCAUGAUGGUGCAUUCCAUUUAAACAACAUGACUAUUGACUUAUAAUAGAAAUAUAGACCAAUAUAGACCUUAUAGAAGCAAUAAGCCUUGCUAAUGAUAGUUUCUCCACCGCUGACAUGUAAGUUAUUGACGAUCUGACUAAUCUCAUCCUUCCCUGUAAAAUAAAGUAUAAAAAUUAGUUCACAGAGUAGAAAGAAAAGUAAAAUAAAUAAAAGCCCAAAGAUUAAUACCUUUCUCUAAGGUUCUUUCACGGGACAUUGAAUAGUGAGAACCAAUGCUUGCCAGAAUACUUCCAGCCAAGCGGCUCUGUAUAGCCCCCAAAACAUUUUAAUCUGAGCAAUGGGUAAAUGGAAAAGAAAAGCCCAAAUAUUACAAAGCAUGGAGGCAAAACCCACCGUCCCUGAGGGAUCUUUAACAAAAGUAGGCUCGUCAGUGUAUAUUUCCUCAUCAAGAACCUUUCCACAUGUACCGCAGCAUCUGAUCAUCAAACAUGUCAGUUAACGUAUCAACAAACAAGCACAAGAGCACCAAUUGCUUUGUGAAAAUCUAAUGGUUAACCAUUAACAGAGCAGUAAAUAAGGCCAUGUUCAUAAGAAUCAUACUGACUGGUUUUGCAUCACAUCCCACUAGAAUAAUAUAGAAAGAACAGGGAGAUCUCACAUGUAUCCUUUGUCGGGGUCCUUUAUUGAGGGGCAGUAAUCAGCACAGUGAGUACAAUAAACCAUUGCUGAAGGAACUAGCCUUGGAUGAUCAGGUCAUAUCAACCUGUGAAAUUUUGAACGAAAUUCCCGUUCAGUUCCAAGCCUAAAUGAAAACUCCUUCAUAUUCAUUCUAAAUAUAUGCAGGUUGGAAAAAAUGUUGUUGGAGAAGAAACGGUCAUAGCAAAAUGUUUUAUUUUUACAGUUUACUCAUUGCAUUUCUUCCUUCCUAAUAGAAAGACCCUUGUGCGCUCAAAUUCUCGACAGCACUCACAAAUCAAACGCCGCAAGAAGCACUUACAGAAGCACAUCUUACCUUGAUGACCAAACUGGGGAGCAGAGCAGGCGCAGGAGACGCGGCCUGGCCCCUCCUCUCUGCGCCUUUGUGCAGACCACAAUCCUCGCGGAUAGCGCACGAGGAGCGCCGUCCGCCUGUCGAAGCGGAUUAGCCGCAAGCGAGCAACCGGGAGAGGAGACAAGCACCGGCGUCGACUUCAAGGAGGAAGAGGGUGGCGGCUGGUGGUGAUUACGGUAACCGCCGGGAGGUCGCGCGGCCGCGACGCAUCACGCCGUCGAACGUCGCCGCGGCGGACCGGCACUCGGGUGUUGUGCCGGCGCGCCUGGAGGCUGGAGCUGUAGCUGUCGAGUUGGAGGACGGCUGCGGCGCGGCUGGAGCCUGGAGGGCGUCGGGAGGAUGCGGAGGUUUUGGAUCUUUUCCCCCCAAAACCUAGUAGUCCCGCACGCGAUUUGAAGAGGGGGAGAUCCCAAUGGUGUUGAACGCGUGAGUCCCGUAGAGAGGGAUCCAAGAAGAGAGAGGAGGAUAUGCAAUGCGGCGAUGGGGAUAGGGCGACUCACCGAAGCGCGGUGGCGCCGCCUGUGCUGUGUGUUGGAGGCGGGUCGAGUAGGGUGGCCAGCAGUGGACGGAGAAGGCCGGCAAAGAGUCGCCAGAGGCUGGCGGCGGCGUGCGAGCGAUCGGUGAAGGCAGUGGGCAGUGAAGACGGCUAAAACCGUUCACUACCCACUGCCUUCACCGAUCGCUCGCACGCCGUCGCCGCCAGCCUCCGACGACUCUUUGUCGGCCUUCUCCAUCCACUGUUGGCCACCCCACUCGACCCGCCUCCAACACAGCACAGGCAGCGCCAUCGCUCUUUGGUGAGUCGCCCUAUCCCGACCUCGUCGCCGCAUUGCAUAUCCUCCUUUCUUCUCGGAUCUCUCUCUACGAGACUCGCGCGCUCAACACCAUUGGGUUCUCCCCCUCUUCAAAUCGCGUGCAGGACAACUAGGUUUUGGGGGAAAAAGGUCCAAAACCUCCGCAUCCUCCCGACCCCGACCGUCCCGACGCCCUCCAGGCUCCAGCCGCGCUGCAGCCGUCCUCCAGCUUGAGCUCUAGCCUCCAGACGUGCCGGCACAGCACCUGAGUGCCGGUCCGCCACCGCUCGACCUGGACGCGGCGAGCCGGCGACGUCCGACGCCGUGACGCGUCACGGCCGUGCGACCCCCCGGCGGUUACCGUAACGGGAUCACCACCAGCCACCACCCUCUUCCUCCAUGAAAUCGUCACCGUCGCCAGUGCUUGUCUCCUCUCCCAGUUGCCCGCUUGCGGCUAAUCCGCUUCAACAGGCGGACGGCGCUCCUCGUCCGCUACCCACGAGGAUUGUGGUCCGCACGAAGGCGCAGAGGUAAGAUGUGCUUCAGUAAGUGCAGCGUCUGAUUUGUGAGUGCUGCCGAGAAUUUGAGCGCACAAGGAUCUUUCUACUAGGAAGGAAAAAAUGCAAUGAGUAAACUGAAAAAAAAAACAAUUUGCUAUGACCGUUUCUUCUCCAACGAUAUAUUUUUCCAACCUGCAUAUAUUUAGCAUGAAUAUGAAGGAUUUUCAUUUAGGCUUUGGAACGGAAAAUUCAUUCAGAAGUUUACCUUAGCACCAGAUCGGGAAGGGGAAAGUGGCCGGCGUGCAGAGGAGGUGGAGGAGGGGCGCCGCCGGCUUGAUUUCGUGGCCGCCGGCUCGAGGGGAGGCGGAGGAGGGGUGUCGCCGCCGGCUUCAGGGGCGCCGCAGCCAGCUUCAGGGGAGGUGGACGAGGGGCGCCGCUGCUCGAUUCGGUGGGUGGAGCGCCGCCGCCGGCUUGAGGGAGGCAGAGGAGGGGCGCCGCCGCCGGAGGACGGGUGCGGCGGAACCCUAGCGGCAGGCGUCGGCCGGGGAGCGAGACGAGGCGUCGGGCGGGAAGCGAGAGGAGGCGGGCGGAAGAAAAGAACAACCGGCACGCGCAUAAGCGGUGGCAACGCGGGUAACAGGGCCUGAUUGGUAGAGCACCAAUCUUACCCUAGUGGUGCUUACCCUACCAAAAUUAGGGUAGGCAAAACAUGGGCAUGCCAAAACCUGGGCAAAUUUUUUUUUAUCCAAAAUGUGACAGCAAAAAUUUUGACCCCCAAUUGGUUUGAUGCCAAAAUACAAAUGUCAAUGUCCAUAAUUCAUACCACAUAUAUUUUUAGAACAUGCAACUUGCAUAACAAAAGUUCACUGAUGAUAAUAUAUCUACAUAUGAUGUAAAAUGAUAAUAUAUCUACAUAUGAUGUAAAGGAGUUCAUCAAAUCGAGGCAUCUUCAUCUAAGAUCAACACAAAAUAAUGAACCUUGUGCUACAGUACUAGUGUACUAUUCUAACACUAUUUCCCUAACUACCUAAAACAGUUCUACGUAGCACAGGUUACAGCAGCAUGCUCAUGACAAUCUACUACACUUCCAAAAUAGCACAAGCAAGUGCAUCAAUAUGUGUCCACCUAGAGGAAAGAGCACAUCCAAAAUACCAUAAGCUUCAGCAUCCAAAUUUACACAGGGCUGCCAUACUGCUAAAAUUCCACAAGCUUCAGCAUCCGUAUUCACAUAGCUGAGUCCAAAAUACCAUAACCUUCAGUAUCCUUAUUCACACGGAGCUACCAUGCAGUCCAAAUUACCACAAGCUUCGGCAUCCAGAUUCACACAGAGCUACCAUAUUCACCUUCAUACACCACUGGUACUAUACUUGGCACCUAAGUAAUCAGUGACCCAAGUUCCAAAUGACUGAUCAGAUGCAGCAUUCAAGUAGUUGCGCAAGUACACCUGCUUCGGCUUGGAAAGGAAGGAUGCAAUAUCAACCUUAUCACGUGGUGGGAAAGGUAUAUCCUUAGUACGCUUCCAAAGAUUGGCAUAAGGAUCUGAAGGUGCAGCAAUGGAUUUGGCAAGCAUGACAAUACUUCCUGCAAUUGGAUCAUUCUCUAAAGCUUUAGCAUGUUUUGGUUUGUCCUUUCGAUGCUUCUUCAUAGGCGAUUUCAUGUUUUUGCGCUUCAUACCAGAACUGAAGCCUACAGCUUCUGGACUGCUGUGGGCAAUAGUGUCUUCGACCGGUGGACUGCUAUGAGCAAUAGUUUCUACGACUACUGGACUACUACGAGCAAUAGUGUCAGAAUCAUUCUCAAUAUGUUCAGCACCUGAUUCAGACUUAUCAUCUUCGACAUCCAAAGUGUUCUGGUCAACAGCUAAGGAUCCAUUAGCUUGUGCAGAUUCUCCAAACAGCUCUUCCAUGUGAUGGAAGAGUUUGAUAGGCUGAGUAAGAUAGUUGUAUUUUCCUGUUUGCAACAAAUGUUAAGUAGUGAGUCCAACAGUGCCUUCAAGAACUAUAUUAAUCAUGUACAUAGUUUUUCACUGAAGAUAAUAUAUACUAACAUCUAACUAAUUAGUGCACAAGCUAGAGACUUAUGUACAUGAUAUAGUGCUUAUUCGUCAGCAUAAGGUAUGCAAUGGAUAAACUUACCCCAAGCUUAGAAGGUGAUUUCUCUGAGUAGGGAAGAUUGAACUUUCUUGAUGCUGCAUCAAAACCAUUGCCACUGUUAGCCAUAGCAUGGCUUAUCCAAUUCCAUUUCUCCUUGAAUGCCCUGAAGUGACGAUAAACUUGGUGUCUGGUAGCUCCGAUUUCAAAUCUAACAUUUAACGCUUCUGCACACAGACGGUGGUGGUGUUGCUUCCACCUAAAGGUAGCAGGUUUGUCCUUUUGGUAGUCAACAUACCACUGAAGCAUGAACUCAGUGGUGUCAUCAGUCCAUGUUAUGUACUUCUCACAAUAUAUAACGUCAGUACUCCCAAUUUUGUUUUGCUUACCCAUGCUAUAAACGAAGGAUAACAAUAAGUAACCAUUAUUUAAAUAUAAAACAUACGAUAUACUAGUUGCAGAGAAAGAAAGUUACUGCAUUUAGCAAAGUAAUCAUAUUGUUUACUUACAGAAGCACAAGUGCAUUACUACAGUACACAAAAUGAGUACACAGCUACAAAAGUACACAUACAGACCCAAUAUUAAUAGUCCAAACCAACCCAAAAGACACCAGCUGCACCUAGCACUAACAUUGUCAACGGUAAUAUUACUAUUAAGUCUAUCACUCCACAUCUGCUGGGAAAUUGAAUCACACUUGGCAGCCCACUCACGUACAUCAGCCUCUUGAUCAGAGAUACAAUUCUCACUCCUCGGUAGAUGGUCAUACCAAGUUGGCUCAUCAUAUAUGAACUCAUCAGUGUCGUCAUCCAGCAUCCAAUUAUGAAGGGCGCAACAGGCAAUGACCACCUUGGGCUGUGACUUUAGGGGUAUGAAUGGCUUGUUACUAAGAAUCUUGAAGCGAUUCUUGAGAGCGCCAAAUGCCUGCUCAACUGUUGUCCUAAGUUGGGAAUGGCGAUGAUUGAAAAGCUCUUUUGGACAUUUCGAGUCAUGGGCUAUACGAAUUUUAAAAAUCCAUUAAUACCUUCAGGGAUUUUGAUUCCAUUUGGACGAGAUAGGGCAUCAUGCAACACGAGAGAGUCAUGAGCAAACCCCUCCCACCCUGCUAGGACAUAAGUGAAGUGCAGAUCAAAGUCGACAACUGCUAGGACAUUUUGUGUGGGAUAUGACUUGCGGCCCCUAAACCUAUCCACAAAUUUAGCAGGCACACAUGCCCUGAUGUGAGUGCCAUCUAGUGCCCCUAUACAUCCCUAUGUGAAAAGACAAAAACAUAUGUCAAGCAUUUUUAUAUAUAAGUGCUUAAAAAUAUGUCAAUGCACUACUGACAGUUACCUCAAAAUAUGGAUAAAAUCUGUUCGGGCUGUUGGUGAUCUUAGGAUGUGUGGAUGUUGAUCUAACAUAAAUUAGUUCAGGAGCUAACUUCACCAAGGCACGCAAGACGACAUUAAAGUACCUACUCACUGUCCAUCCAGAUCUCCACAAUGCAAUUGCAGUAGAGGAGUGUGUGUGAUAUUGCCCAACAAUCUUCAAAAACAUUGCCACUUGCUCCUCUACUGAAACAUGAAAUGUAUCAAGUAAUAGGCCCCUCUCCCUUAGCCGAAAAUAAAGGUUGUAGAACAUAGGGCGGGACAUCCUCAGUUCACGUAUACAUAUUCUGUCAGAGGUGUCAAUCAACCUAAUUAGUUCACUACUACGCCAGAUAUCCCUUUGCACAAGCGGAGCAUACUUCACACUCUUGGCUCUACUCCUCUUAUCAUUUUGGUUCCUCCACCACAAGAACAACAGUAGAACAAGAAAAGCUAGGGCCUUUUGCCUCCGCAUACAGUUAUUAAAGAAUUGAUGCUGAUUAUUGUCCAUCUAUGUGUAGGCCUAUAUCCAACAUGCACAAGCAAGAAGAAAAAAAAAGAUGCAAAUCAUAUAUCAAUAGCCAAAUAAAACAAUGUUGAUAUGAUAAAUGACACAUAAAGAACUACUGCACUGCAUAGCGUAAAUCAACAGCCAAUAAUUAAUCAUGUUUGGUAAAAUAAAUAACUGAAAUACUAUAAAGUACAUCUCGCUAUGUUAACCAAAGGCUUUGGGUGGUGAAUUUGUUACCUAGAAUGCUAUGUCAAGUGGUCAGAUUUUAGAUAAGUAAAUCAGAACUAAAAUCUUGCAAAAAUUGGAAAUUAACUCUAGAUAAAGGGCUCAAGAAGUGCUAUCAAUACACAGAUUCAGACUGCAUGACGGAAUUCGUGGAGCAACAAAAAGAAACGAGUAGGUCUGAGAAAAAUUAACAAAUCAUCAGUUGAGGCCGAAACUGCAGGCCACCGAGUUGCUCAAGUUGACGACAAACAAAAGCCCCACCCACGGCACUCCCGCCGGCGGCGGCGACGCAUGACGCAUAGCGCAGCGGCGCCAUGUCUAUUUGACCAAGGACCAAUUACGAGGUUGCAGAACAGCAGAAUCAAGCAAUUUUCCUUUUGUUUCGAUCUGAAGUUUGAACGAUGCAAGUAUCCAAACAAAUGCCGAAUGCCCAUGUUUAGAAAACGUACAGAUUGGUGGAGGUAUGCACAAAGAGAUCAAAGGAGCAGGAUUUCAUGAUUAAAAUAUCUUAAUUUUUUGUGACCAACGCAUCUAGGAGAUGGCUACUAUGCUCUCACACGCUUUGCGUCAGCACGUCGAUACAACAGAUCUAUAAACAAAAGAUAAAUUAGAAAUUUAUACCUACAAAAUUGAUGGAGGUUUGUAGUGGAGGAACACAUGCUAGUUGGAAUAGAUGGAUUGAUUGGAGAGGAUCAGAGAACCCACCAAAUCAACGCGGCAAUCGAUGAAAGGAGUCUCCUACCCCAUGUGUAAUUGAGGUACGGCCCCUUUAAUCUGCAACAGGAACGGGUGAAUGGGUGAUGGUGGAACUCCGGUGUUGAUGAUGGUCGAGAACAUGGGAACUCGGAGAGUAGCUGAUGGCGGGCUGGCCGGUGGUUGCGUGAAGAGAGAAGACGGAGAGGCGGAGUCGCGAAGAGGACGAGAGCUCAAAUUAGGAAGGGGAAUAGGGAGCGUGGCAGGAACAGUCAAAACGCGGGUCAGUUGAAUGCUGCCGAUGUGCCUAGAAAUAUCAGCACGCCGAUUUUUUGGAUUUGAACCAAUCAAGUGUCAAAAAAAUUUAGCCCUGCCCUGGCAGACUUUGGUGCCCAACCAAUCAGGCCCAAAAUUUCCUAUUAUUGUGUCCCAACAGACAAAUCAAGAGCUGUUAGACAAUUUGGCACACUUCACGUCCGCAAUUACUCCCUCCAUCCUAAAAACAAGUCAUUUUAUAAUUCAAAAUUUAUCAAAAAAUAAGUCAUUAUACUCAAUUUGGCAUGUGUGCAUGUGCGUGCGGCAGUCAAUUAGCACCAAAUAUAGCUAAUAAAUAGGGGCAAUCAAGGUCAUUUUAUUUCCUUGUUAAUCUAUUCUAGAAUUCCUUGGGUGACUUGUUUUUCCAGGACGGAGGGAGUUGUAACAACCCUAGUUUUAAUUAACCUUGCUGAGAGUUUAGAAGUUAAUCUAGCACUUAAAUGGACUAAAAUGCCCUUUAAAAGCUUAAUUUGGAGGUAAUUCAUAAAAUUCAAAUUUUAUAUAACAACUUUAAUUUUUGCCAAUAUAAGAGUUGUAAAAUUUUAAAGACAAACAACUUUUAUUAUUUGAACUUUUUCUAACUUGAAGAGGAAGAUGUUCAAAAAUAGGGUUGAAAUUCAAUAGUAAUUCAAGUCCCUAUCAAAAUCAGGGCCUGUUUGGCUUCAUAGUGUUAAAGUUUAACACCCGUCACAUCGGAUAUUUGGAUGCUAAUUAGGAGUAUUAAAUAUAGACUAAUUAUAAAACUAAUUGCACAGAUGGAGUGUAAUUCGUGAGACGAAUCUAUUAAGCCUAAUUAGUCCAUGAUUUGACAAUGUGGUGCUACAGUAACCAUUUGCUAAUGAUGGAUUAAUUAGGCUUAAUAGAUUCGUCACGCGAAUUAGCACAGGGUUCUGCAAUUAGUUUUAUAAUUAGCUCAUAUUUAGUUCUUCUAAUUAGCAUCCGAACAUCCGAUGUGACACUGUUAAAGUUUAGCACCUCGUAUCCAAACACCCCCUCAGAGUCAUGAAAGGCAUAGCUGAUAGAGAAGAUUGAGUUCUGCUGUCAAAUUCUAGACCUGGUUUAAAGUUGAAGAUUUUAUAAAAGUUGUAGAAUAAACCUUAGAGAGAAACUUUGUUAAUUUGAGCUUGGACCAGUUCAAAUUGGAACCUUUUCAAAUUUGAGACCAAAAACAGCACCAGCUUAAAUUUCAGCACAAAGCUCUAAGUCCAAGAACAGUGAAUGUCGUCCAUUUUGGCAUGUAAAUUACUACCAAAUCCAAAACUAACCUGGACCUGAGCCUUUUCUAAGAGUUAGAGUGUGAAGUGUGUACUACAAUACUGUCCAUUUUACCUUGGUAUAAAUCAGAGUAGAACCAUUUUAAAACUUGAGCCAAAGUUCAGCUAAACUCUCAAAUACAGCUUCAAUUCAAAAUCUGCCAAGUCCCAGUAAACAGCGUUCCACCAAAGUUCACGUUUCUUUUUCUCUAAAUCCAGCCAAGUUUUGAUCCUAAAGUCUUUCUAGGAGUUGUAGGGUAUAGUUCAAACUAAAAUUUUUGUAUUGGAAAUUUUCAAAGUUUGAAUUUAAACCUUGGCGCAAAAUCAACCCGAAUCUGCACAUGUGCACAUGUGCUCCCUCGCGCUGCACAUGUGCCCGAUCUGGCGAUCACGCCUGGCGCGUCGCGCCGCCGCACCGGCGCAGUGCCGCCGGCCAACCGCCGCCGCGACAUGACCAGACGAGCGCUGCAACUGCCCAAUCGCGCCGCAAGCUCGUAUCCGCCCUCCGCUCCGCAUCUCGCCCACCCUAUCGCGCGUCGUUCCUUCGCCGCCUCCGCCUACCGGCUCCCGCGCUCCACCCAACUGCCGGCGAGACAAGACGAGUCGGGCUCCCUCCGCUGGCCUAUGCGCGCGCGAGGCAAAACGAUCCUUCACGCUCCCAAUCUCGCCCGGCCAUGGCCUCGCCCGCAGCUCCACAUCGCCACUCGUUAAUCCGCGCAGCCGGCCAAAGGCGUUCCGCCCUGCUUUCCUACCCCACUCGCUGCCCGGCUACGUCUCUACGCCCAGCAGCUUCGCCCCACCUCCCUCCAGCUUCCUGCGGCUUUAAAAGCCUUCAUUGCCCCGCCGGAGAGCCCCUCCCCUAGCUUCCCCCUUCCGCCGCCACUGAGCAGAGCCGCCUCACCGUGGAGACCCCACUCUCGCGCAGCGCCGCUGCCUCUCGAGCCGCCAGUGAUUCACCCACAUCCCACUGCUGCUCCCCGAGCCCUCGCCGCGGCCUUCCCACCGACGAGUUCGCCGGAACGCGCAAGCCCGCCGCUGGUCUUCGUCCUCACCACCGGCAGACCGCUCCGCCGCUCCUUUCUUCACCAAAUCCGCUCGAGGUGAGCUACCAGUCACGCCCAGCCCCUUAUCUUUCACCGCCGCACCGCCGUUUCGCCGGAAUUGGCCGGACCCGCCGCCAGCCACCGCGAGGGCCACAUUGCGAGACUUGAGUUUCUUCCAGGGGCCUUCGUGUUAGAUUCCAGGGGCCUAUUCGUGAAUGUUUGAAAACAUGUAGGGUCCCUUCGUAAAACUACUUCGACUUUUCUGAUUUUAAUUUGAAAUAAAUGGUCUGAACUUUGAAAAUGCAUAAUUAAAUUUAGAAAAACUAUAAAAAUGCCAAACCACUUUUUUUAGAAUCAGUGAGUUGUUUAGUUUCACAUAAAAAUACUUUUGUACAUGUCACUGAUGUAUUUAUUUUUCUAGAUUUUAUUUAGUGUCUAGACCUUUAAAUGCUUGGUAAAUCACACAAAAAUGUUAAAAUAGUAAAACCACCUCUGUUAGCUUUUUUACAUUGAGCUUGUGCUUGUAAAAGUGUUUCUGACCCUAGUUUAGAUGUUUUGUACACUAUUUUAGAUGGUGAAAUCUUACUUUUUGCAUAAUAAAUAGAAUAUGUCACUGAAAAAUGUGAAACCACUUUUUUUCAUCACAUAUGGAACAUUCUCACUAGGAAAAAUAAGGGUCGCUAUAUGAAACUAGGUGAAACAUGCUUGUAUUUUUUACAAGACUAAAUCAUAAAAAAAUAUGGAAAAUAGAUGUGCUUCACCAAAAAUCAUGGAAACGAUAACGAAAGACAAGCAUAAGAAAAUACAAAGCUUAAAGAUGAGGUUAGAGGCAGUAAAAACUUCUCUGGUCUUUUAAGUUCAAUUUUCCAUUAGGCUAGUAUUAAUAUGUGUGCUUUCAUAGGCAGACCAGAAGAAGAUGAUCAAUGAGCUAAGGCUAGUCCCAGUGUAAGGUUUCAUUGCACUGUUUCCAAGGAUGCCACAUCAUCCCGUGAGGUGUAUUCUCAUGAAUAAAACAGGGAGUCCCAGUGCACAGUUUCAUUUCACGAUUUCAUAGGAUGCUCAUGACAUUUAAUUGUGAGGCAUGUGAUUAGAUAUGGUUAGAUGAAAUGAAACUAUAUAGCCCACAAUGCAAGUUUCAAUAGGUUUCAUAGUCUUGGAAAUAGUGUAUACACAGUUUCAUCCUGAUGAAACUCCUUCCCUCUCUCACUUCAUAAGGCUAGUCCCAGUGCAAGGUUUCAUUGCAUUAUUUCCAAAGAUGCUACAUCAUCCCAUGAGGUGUAUUCUCAUGAAUAAAACAGGGAGUCCAAGUGCACAGUUUCAUUUCACGAUUUUAUAGGAUGCCCAUGACAUUUAAUUGUGAGGCAUGUGAUUGGAUAUGGUUAGAUGAAAUGAAACUCUAUAGCCCCCAAUGCAAGUUUCACUAGGUUUCAUAGUCUUGGAAACAGUGUAUAUACAGUUUCAUCCUGAUGAAACUCCUUCCCUCUCUCACUUCAUAACUACCAUGCCAUGUCAUCAUAUAUGCUGAUAUGUCACUGUAUUUAAUGUGCAUGAAACCUCUAUGAAACUUCCACUGGGAUUAGCCUAACUACCAUACCAUGUCAUCACAUAUGCUGAUGUGUCACCGUAUUUAAUGUGCAUGAAACCUCUAUGAAACUCCUACUGGGAUUAGCCUAAGGAAGCGAGUCAACCCAGUGGUCUUUGGUUCAAAAAUGCGCAGAGGUAAACCGCCUCAAAGAAGAGGCUGCAGGGCUCAUGAAAGACAACGAAGAGCUGCAAUCAUUCGUCGAACUUGUCGAGUCCAUGAUGACUUGAUGAGUGCUUUGUGCCAGGGAAAGGGUGGGUGCCCCUCCUGACUUUGUGCCAGCGUUUGGAGGUAGAUAAGGUUGGACUCUUGGAACGUUUGAAUAGCAUCAAGUGUAUGGGGGAACUUUGUGGUAGAUCUGUAACUCCUGGGUGCUGUUUGGUUCACCCGCUUUAGGCUGUAAUCGGUUCACAGGGCUAUCUGUUACCGUUGUUUCUAGUUUGGUUGGACUGCUCCGCAACUAAUUGCAGCGUGAAUGGAAACAGGCCCGUAGAAACUUGAUACCGCUCCGCACCCGGUGUUAUCCGAUCCCAUUAUUUUUCUCGCCUUCGCUCGACUGCUCUCCCGCGAGACGCGUCCCACUCGCUCGAACGUGUCUUUGAUUCAGUAACAGGCGGUCUGCGACCGUGUGACGACUCAGCGGAUAAUUUCGCACGUAAUCCUAAGACGACUCAGCAGAUAACCCGUAUAAUGGGUUUAUUGUCAUCUAAUAGGCAGUCUGACACAUAAUCUUGAGAAUUGUUGUUAUCUAAUCGACGGUCUGACAUGUAAUCUUGAGACGACUCAACAUAACCCGUACAAUGAGUUGUCAUCUAAUAGGCGAUCUGACAUGUAAUCUUGAUACAACUUAAUGGAUUUAAAUGACUCAACAAAUAACCUGUACAAUAGGUUGUCUUAUAAGUUGUCUGGUCAAGCUAUAUAAUUCCUUAAUUUGUGCAUAUGAAAAAAGAAAAAUUAUGAGUUACAUGGUAACAACAACUCGUACAAUUAUUGUUGAGUUGUCUCAUAGUUCUAAAAUUUAGUUCAUGAGAUGGUUGUUUAACCCUUUUCUCUCUCCUCGCUCUGUCUCCUCCACAUCGUCGAAAAUUCUACGAGGCAUUGCAUGAGACGGCCCAUAAAAUUGUUGACGUGUAGCAACAUACUCGCAAAGAGCGUAACCCUCGUGUUUAGUUGCCACUAUGAGUUUGAAACCCUGGACAGACCGCCGGUGUUAAGCUGGAGGAAGGAGAGGAUGAGGCCAAGUCAUGGAAGGAGAGGAUGAGGCCAAAUCAUCAUGCCCUUAUGCCCUGGGCGACACACGUGCUACAAUAGGCGGGAUAAAGGGUCACGAUCUCGCGAGGGUGAGCUAACUCAAAAAAAACCGUCCUCAGUUCGGAUUGCAGUCUCUGCAUGAAGCAGGAAUCGCUGGAUAGGGACCAGAUUCAACGCGCUACGACUCCGGAUUUACGAGCAAUCAGGCGUCAACCGCCCAACUUUUUUUUGUUAUAGACAGAGCAACCAACCGUCCCUCGCCGCAACGCAAAUGGCAGCGCUCAAGCUCCUCGCCGUCUCCGCCGUCGUGGCUGCUCAGUCCACCGCAGGUGUGCUGAGGAGGGCAGUGAAGGCACCGCCAUCGCCGCGACCGAACACGCAGGGGAGCCCGCGCGUGUCAUGGCCCCCGCCGAUACACCGACGUCUUCUCGCCGUACUGUCGCCGCGGGCGCCGGCCACCGUGUCCUCAGCGCGACGUCCGUCGUGCUUUGAGCCUCCGUCCGACGCAGCCGCUGCCGGCACGACGGCGUCGUCGUCACCGGCACAGCGAGCGGACACCACGUCGGACGCCGCCAUCGUGGUAUCGUCGGCGUGGCGGGCAGCCAUUGCGUCCUCCGGCACCGUCAGCGCCAGACCACAACCACGUCUCUAACGUUACAUACUUGGCAGUUCAUCCCGCUCCAAGUCGCUAGUGUGCACUUGUCUUCACGCACAAUGCUGUUGCCACGUUCAUUAGUUCCAAUUUCUUUUGUUAGCCCAGAAUGUAAACAAUGCACCGGACUUAUCGUUGUUCAAAUAAAUCUUUUUUUUCAUUUGCUGUUAACUGUGAAGAUUUGGCUAGAGAAAAAAAAACAAACACAGGCGUUCAUGUUCUUCUCGUCGUAAGGUUUUUUUAUCUGGUUUCUCCUAAGAACAUGGACCAACGGUUUGUUUUUGUUUUCUUCUAAUAAAACUCGCAGAAAAGAUUUUACCGUCCUUAAAAUAGUACAGAUGUUCUUAAGACUACUACACCAGCAUCAGGGAACUUGUAGUUCUACGGCUCUACGGAUUCAAUAUAGGCCAAUAUUUGUGAAUCAAUUUUUGCUAGCUGAAUCGUCAGUAGAUCUUUACUCCUUGAUCCAAAUGGACAAAACUAACACAUCAUAUGAUUGUGUAUCAGCAAAAUGAACUAGGACCUGUCUCAGUCUGAGGACAUGUACCAUCAGGCAUCAGCAGCAACUUCUGCCAAUACACCUUACCUGCUUACCAUCUCUCUGCCAUUCCAUUAUUCUAUCAUGCCAUCAUGUGGUCGCUCGGAUCUCAAGAGGCCCCUCCAUGCCAUCACCUGAGUCAGACGCUCAAGUUCAGUAUAAAAUUUAGCUCAGCAGAUCACCGGGAGUAAACCUAAAGCCACGAUGAGACUGCUGGAGCUCCUCGCCGGCCUCACCAUACUGGCUGCUCUGUUCACCGGGAGGGCAUGGCCGGUUGCUGUGCUGGGGAGGACGGCGAGGGCACCGCCAGCGCCGAAAGCUGGCCCGAUAAGGCACCGUCGUCGACCACCGCAGACGCCGCCGCCGCCCCCACCCCCACUGUCACAUCGGCAUGUCGUCCGGCCGCGGCCACCAUCCAAUCAUUAGAUCUUGCUGUUACCAAAAAUUCUCACAGUUAUAUUCGAUUGUAAAAUCGGAUAUUAUUUCUGUACUGCGUUCACAAUUUCAGUUUUUGAUUUGCUUCGGUGUACCAUGCAGGGCAUCUCUCUCGCUCUGAUGUUCAAAGAAACUUUUGCACUUCUUUUCUUACUUUCUUUGCACUUCUACUGAAUCAGAUUCAGAGUUAUUUGCACUUAAUUUUUCCAAAUCAUUUCAAAAGGCAAACAAACGAAGAGAUGUUCUUAUGACUUACUAGACCAGCCUCAACGAGAGAAGGUGACCUCCCCUCUCAGCUGAUCUGAAGAUCAGAAGAUUUAUUCUCCGAGAAACGCAACACCUCCAUUGCCGUUGAGUUUGGACAAAGGGGCUGCCUGAAUCAUUUCUCGUUGAUGUUGUAAUUUGACGACGCCAUUUCCACCGUGAUCCAGAAAGAAUGUUCAAUCUUUUUAUCCAGUUACCGAGCGUUCACAAUUUAUAUUUGGACAAGAACGAAACUGACAUGUUAAUCAAAAGGUUCUCGUUUGAAUUCUUUACUGAGGUGAACCUGUGAAACUUUCCUGAAGAGCAAAUGAAUUAAAUUUAAACCGCAAAUAGAAAGAAAAUAAUUGAAGAGGGAAAAAAAGGAUCAAGAGGCAGAGAAACAGAUGGUUCUUAAGACUACUAGACCAGCCUCAAUGAGGGGAAACGAACUCCCCCCUCAGCCGAUCUGAAGAGCAGAAGAUUUGUUCUCCGAGCAACGCAACACCUCCAUUGCCAUUUUAAUCGGACAAAGGGGCUGCCUGAAUCAUUGCUCGUUGCCGUUCUCAGCUCCUUCCGAGAUGAGAUCGAUUUGACACAACUACGAGAGGUAAGGAGUGGGGGGUUGCGGAAAACGCGAAUAAACGAAUUUCAUCGUCGUCGACGAAGAACUUCACGAUCGGACAGACUACGGUUGACGCGACGAGCUGCGGGGACGCUCCGAUUCCGGGCUGCCUGACGGCGGCGCGGUGUCCUACAGAUUUUACAAGGAGAGGAACGGAAGGGAGGAACCCUAGUUAGGUGUUAACUCUGUACAGAGAGAAACUACGUGAGCACCCUUGAUUAUACCUCGCAGGCUCGCGCACUCUCUAACCCAACAGAAUAGCCCAUUUUGAACCCAGCAGAGGACCGCUAGAAAGUUUGCAUGCAAGAAUGCUAGGCCCAACAAGACGAUCCUUCUGUUAGUUACGAAACCUGGGUGCCUCAACCUCAAAUCUACGCCCUUGGUAGUGCUUUUCUCAGAGAGGAAGCGCCGGCAGACAUGGUUGUGAUGUGGAUUUCAGAGCCCUCAUACAUCCAUGACCAUUUUGCCUUCCCAAGUACAUCUAACUCUUGGCAAUGAGAGCAAAACCUUGUACACUAGCAAGCCACAGUCACCAAAAUCACCAUCAUCAAAAUAAUUAGGACAUAAAAAUUACCUACGGAGUUACUUUUGCAUUGAGCAUGGACAUAUUUUACAAUAUCAUAAAAGCUUUGGAAUUAAAUCAUGAUCAUUAUCAGCCCAGACGUUAGGUCAAUGCGAAAAGCUCUGUUAGCUCAUAUCUAAGCUAUUAUUCUGCAUAAUUCAGAUCUACCGUGAGUUAGCAUUCAAUUGGUAAAAUCAUUUUUUACGUUUUGGGUUGUGCCAGGAGACAGGUAACACGGAUGCAGAGAAGGAAGCAUCGUGCUGUUUAAUUCUGGCUUCUUGUUCAAUCUAUGCUUCCCUCUACAGAGUGACCAGACAAUAGAAAACCAGGCCAUUCUUCCAGUGGUGAAGCAACAAAGCAAAAAACAGAAAAAUUGUUAAGCUAAGCUUACUUAUUGUCUAAAACUCAAGAUGCAAUAGUAAGCUUACUUCUUCAGUUCAGGUCUAAAGAAUUCCACAUCGCACCAUGAGAAAAGCACUUCAGAAAAAGUAUGCAUUUUGAUAAACACCAGAGACUAAAUCCAAUUGACAGAUUAAUAUAAAUUAUCAUCAUAUUAAUCAAUGUAGGAAAGCAACAAUGAGAACCCUCAGACAUGGAUAUGAAGAGUAUCAACAGAUGAUUAGUUUUUCAGACAAGGCUAAAACUUAAAACAUGUUCAUUCAACUGGUGCAUAAGGAAGAAAGAAGAAUUUUUAAAAAAAAUUGAAAAAUAAAACUGCCGUGGAGCAAGAUGUGGAAGGCCAUUCAGAUCCCUCUGUGAUAAUAAUAUGGCUCAUCAACGAUGUAAAUCAGGCCACUACUUCAUCACAAAUCUUCACAGGGACCUCCAAGAACUCAGAUUCUUCCACAUCAAUCAAAAAUCAAAAAAAAAGAAAAAAAAGAAGGGAAAAAACAGAUUGAGUAAGAGUCUCCUCAGUUCAGGUCUCCAAAUUGUUCUUCCACAUUGCAACUUCAGAAGAACGAAAGUAUUUUUUAUCAUCAUCGGAGAACUGUCUAUCUAUCAAAGCAAGCAAAUCCAAAACCAAGCCAAUGCUGAACAAAGAGACAUAACAUGAUAAAAAAAAGUUGUCUGUAGCAGAAUGAAAUAGCCUGAAUUGUCUUAUGGGGAUGGUAGGCCAAUAAGAUGCAUAGUUUAGGAGAAACAUUACAAUCUAAAGCAACCAAGGGGUGCGAAAAACAUGAGACCAAUACCAGCUUUAUCUGGUACGAAUUCUCAGAAGCAAAACUGCAUUUUAAGCUGAAAGGUUGGAUCAUCACUACCAACUCAAUCACAUAGAAGAAGCCAACCUGGCUAGUUGCUUGAUUAGCAUCCAAGAUUGCUGAACGUGAAAAGAGAGAAACAGCAAAGAAAAAGGGGGGAUGGAGACCCUUGGUUGCUCAGUGAUGGCAAUAAGGUUAAUUGGUUCGAUUCUGCCAGCAAGCAUCCUCAAAUGUCUUCAGAAGAGGGAGCGUGUUUGUCCUCAUGGCAACAACACCAUCCAAUGUAAAAAUAAAUGUAAACAAAAGAAACAAAAAAACACAGUUGAAGAGAGUGACCAGAAUUGAAAGAGAAUUCAGAAUUCAUAUGGCUCAGUCCAGUAAUCAGGAGGAUAGUCAACAUAUGGAUCAUUCGGAAUUCAUAUGGCUCAGUCCAGUAAUCAGGAGGAUAGUCAACAUAUGGAUCAAUCUCAAUAUUUAGUAUUUAGAGAGAGAUGUAGAUUGGUCCGUUGAGCUUGAAAUUUACCGAGUUGUCUGAGUCAAAUCUGAUCAAAUUGGCCAUCAUGUACAUGCAAAUGGGCAGCAAAAAGUUAAGGUGUGAUGGGCCUCCUAUUCCACAACCAUGGUGAUAUCAAAUGCCAUGAUCCAACAACACCACAGUAAUAUAAUAAUCUGUAAAUGUUGCUCCUACAAAAAGAAAAUGGACUAGAAAAACAAUCAUUUACAUUGAACAUGCAUGUGUGUCAGAUUAAAGUAUUAUCAGCACCCUUAUGAAGGAGUCAGACAGGGAUAACUGUAUUUUACUUGUGUUAUCAUCAUCCACAUCAACAGAUCAAUGGCACAAAAAGUGCAAGUUCAUGGACUAUAUCAGAUCUUCCUAUUCAAUAUGAAAGAACUAUCAUGGUAAACCGUAAUAAUCAAGAUUGGGCACUUUCACCUUCAAAGUUUCACAUCAUUUAGAUCCCACAAAACACAUGGGGAUAUGAUCAAUCUUACAUGAGAAUGUACGUAGCCUUUCCAGGAUUGGAUUGGCACCAACAACACCACCAAUCAGGAUAUAACCACACAUCAGGAGAAUUGCAUGUUGCGUUCAAGCCAUUAUACCGAGAGGAACGAAAUCAUCCUCCAGAAUUGGUAAUGGACGCAUCUUACAAAAGGAAUAAAUAGAAACCUUACUAAAGAUGAUAAAGUUAUAAAGGCAUUAGUGGACUGUGAGAUUUGAGUUCAGACAGCCAAGGGUUUGGUCUUCAACGACUACCACAAAGAAGCCGUAUCAGAAACUAUCCAAAACACAAUUGUUCAUCACCACUCAAAAUAUCAGGUCAACUAUUGCAUCAGGAAGUAAAAAACGACAUAAAUUAAAUAAACUAAAGGUUGAGUUGAGAUUUCAGAGCUCAGACAGCCAAGGGUUUGGUCGUCAAAUACUAAAAGGCAGUAUCAGAAACUCUAGUCCACAAGAAGUGCUCAUCACUGCUCCAAUCUCAAAUCAACAAAUGUAACCACAGAAUUAAAAAAAAUACAAAUCUAGUCCGUGAUGCAACUCAGAGAGAAUAACACAAGGGCUAGUAGCCUCAGGCUUUCAGAGACACAUUAUGGAUGGGGCAUGUAUUUUGCACUUUGGCUAACUUGGUGAAUAGACCUGUGCUAUUUGUAGGACUAAAUUCCCUAGGUUUCCAGGUUUCAGAAAGCUGAAAUGUUGAUUUUUGUUGCAAAGAAAACUAGGUCCA